rnacentral:rRNA from 1 species
CCCAGACUCCUACGGGAGGCAGCAGUGAGGAAUAUUGGUCAAUGGCCGCAGGGCUGAACCAGCCAAGUCGCGUGAGGGAUGACGGUCCUAUGGAUUGUAAACCUCUUUUGUCAGGGAGCAAAGGGCGCCACGUGUGGCGCUUUGCGAGUACCUGAAGAAAAAGCAUCGGCUAACUCCGUGCCAGCAGCCGCGGUAAUGCGGAGGAUGCGAGCGUUAUCCGGAUUUAUUGGGUUUAAAGGGUGCGUAGGCGGGAUGCCAAGUCAGCGGUAAAAAUGCGGUGCUCAACGCCGUCGAGCCGUUGAAACUGGCGUUCUUGAGUGGGCGAGAAGUAUGCGGAAUGCGUGGUGUAGCGGUGAAAUGCAUAGAUAUCACGCAGAACUCCGAUUGCGAAGGCAGCAUACCGGCGCCCUACUGACGCUGAGGCACGAAAGCGUGGGUAUCGAACAGGAUUAGAUACCCCUGUA